CUUGUAUGUGACAUCUCGUCUUUUUUUAUUAUAAUUCCGAAGCUGUCUCUUUUGUGCUUUUCUGCAGCAUUCCAUGGCCUUGGUCUGAAGCUCAGUUAGAUGGUGGACUGUAUCAUAAGAUAGACAGUCUGGAGUUAUAUUCUUGCCAUGUAACAACUUGUCCAUGGGACUUUGCAGUUUCCUUUCCAAAUGAAGCUCUGCAGGGGUCAUCCCAAUCGUUUCCUGGACAGCUGAAUUAAUAGCGAAACGGAGUUCCGAAUGAAGUCCGGUACCCCCCAACGGGUUAGAAUUUCCUUCCGAAGAAGUAACGCAACAGUCUGAGCUUUAGCGUUGCGCAUGGGGAAACAUUCCACCCACCGGGAGUAAUAGUCUACUACGACUAAGAGGUACUCAUUUUGCUUUGUGCUGCGUGGCAUUGGGCCCAUAAUGUCCACUCCAAGCAUCUCGUUGGGAUGGGUGGUGGUGACUUGUUGUAGUUUGCCCACAGGUUUCUGAUUUUCUCCCUUAAGAGUCUGGCAUUUGAUACAUUUUUUAACAUGGUGUUUUAUGUCAGUCCACAUUCCAGGCCAGAAUGCAACAUCAUGGAUACACUUGUAGGUCUUAUAAAUACCUACAUGACCGCUCCAGGGAUUCGCAUGGUAGUGGUGUAGAAUGGACGACACAAGGCUGUUAGGAAUGUACACUCUGUAAUGAACUUGAUUGUUUGGCAGAUUGUGGCUGGAGACAUCGGAAGCUCAGCAUUCUCCUGCUGGUGUUGGUUGGUGUACAGGUUAUAACUGGUACAAAUCCGAGACAGAGCAUCAGGUGCCAUAUUUAGUUUUCCUUUGCGAUAUUCAAUGAUAAAAUCAAAUCUCUGAAGU